rnacentral:rRNA from 1 species
UGCGUAGGCGGAAUAUUAAGUCAGUGGUGAAAUCCCAGAGCUCAACUCUGGAACUGCCAUUGAAACUGGUAUUCUUGAAUAUAGUUGAGGUAGGCGGAAUGUGUAAUGUAGCGGUGAAAUGCUUAGAUAUUACACAGAACACCGAUUGCGAAGGCAGCUUACUAAACUAUGAUUGACGCUGAUGCACGAAAGCGUGGGGAGCGAACAGGAUUAGAUACCCUGGUAGUC